ensembl:lncRNA
AAUGAGGGUUCUACCUCACAGCACCAAAUGCACUGAUCCUGUAUUUCUGAAUUAAUUGCAGUAAAUAAGGAGAGCAUCACACUGGGUAAAACUCAAGUGAAGGAGAUGAGUAUCAAGCCCAGGCAGAGCAGAGGAGCCCCAGUGCAGGAGCCAGUCCUCCCAGCGCAACCUUUAAGCUGAACAGUGAGGAAGAGGUGAUUUCAGAGCUAACUAAGAGUUAACUGGCUACGUUUCAACUGUCACCAUUGUCUUAAAUCUACAUAGAGAGUGGAGAGAGCCAGAGAGGUGUACUUAGCACUUACGAAAUGCAAGCUCAGGGCAGGCAGUGAGGAACAUCUACACUUAGAGAAGUCUUUCUGGAAAGCCAGUGGAAAUCAUUUGCUCAAAUAUUAGUGGUAAGUCAAGAGGUCAGUGGUCAAUGCAGCCGUUGGGUUGGUGGGUUCCCUUGCACCAUGUUGAAGUCCCUCUGCAAUAGCCCAGCCUCUCCCCAGUUUGUUUUUCUCUUGUAUGUUAUUCAUUAAACCCUUUGCUGUGACAUGCCAUUGCCAGUGUGCCAAAUCCUGAGCAAAUCAUAUCCUCUGUUCUUCUGUUGCAGAUUUGUGAGAUAAUCUAUUAUAGAUUAAUCAUUUCAGUCUUAUGGUACAAUGUCAAAAAUAAAUUGGGGUUAUGAAGCUGGAGGGGAGCCACUUGGGGGUCGUGUGUUCUCACUGACGCUCCUUAUUUGACUUUGAAAACAGCGUCAUGAUGAGAUUUUUGAAGCUGAUUGUUACCCCAUGGAAUCCAAAUCACAAGGAGAAGAGAGAUCAGGCACAUCCGUGAAAAGGGUGGCUGGCUGGGAUCACGUCUGUGAAGCAGCACAGUCACCAAGGAGCAGGUCGGAGAAGAAGCAGCACUUCGGUACCCAUGGCAUGAGACGGGGGGCCCCCAGGAGUCAGGCACCCGCUCUGGUUGGUGGGGUACAAACAAAUCCCAUGGAGAACCAAGAUGCUCCCACAAAGCAUAAAAUAUCUCUCCAAGUAAAAAAUCUUCCCUCAAGAUGUUUUAUUCAAGCUUUUUUCUUAAAGAAGGAAGUGGUAAUUUUUCCCUUUAAAUUCUGUUUUCUUUUUCCCCCCCUGGUUUGGUCUCUCCCAUAAACACAGAGGCCAGAAGGCUAUGCUUAAAUAAUUCAUCUACAAAUUUGCAAUAUCUUUUUGAACUAUAGCAAUUAAACGGAAAAUAGAAAAAUCAGCUCAGCAUCCUGUUUGGAUGUAAUUAAAGGUAUAAUCUGUUCCAUUUGAAUACUUCAGUGCUUACCCUUCUUAAAACAACAAAUAAGAAUAGUAGCUCAUUUGCAAUAUGCUUUUUUUUUCAAGUCAGCUAAAAAGACUAACUGAUGAAGCAAGAAUAAUAAUUUUUAAAUGUGGCAUAAGCACAAAAAUACCAACUACAGCUUUCAAAUGAUUGCUGCAGAUCUCAAGUGUGAUGAGAGUUCAGCAACAAGGGAUAGAAGCUUUAUGGCAGAACACUGAAGUCUUCCACUAUUCGGUAUCAACAUCUCGAUAUGGCUGAUAUAAUUACCUAUCAAAUACAUCAGUGGAAUGAAUAUCAGAUGAUAUCCAAAAAUAUGUAAGUGGGAUGCAGAUCAGCUCAGUCUUUUAGGGGCCGUUUGAUCUAAGGUUUUUUCUAAGAAUAAAAGACAAAUACUGCAUUUGUUGCCCCUUUGU